UGGGAACUGACUCCCCCACCAGCACCCUGCACCAGGAUGUGGUUUUCUGACUGGGUAACCAACACACAAAAUCUAAAGAAGGGGCUCGCUUCUGGGACCAGAACCUCCACUCUGCCUGGUACAAAACAGGAGCAGAUCUUGGUCUCCAGAUUCCAGGCUCCAGUGAGGAAGGACACACUUGGUUUUGCAGAUGAAAGGCCCUGGGAUCUCUUCUGCUUUCAGCAAGGCCUUGUGUUCGAGGCUCCCCCUUACCCUCCUGGGGGUGGGCAAGGGGCUCACCCCACCUCACCUGCACAGCGAGGUGCUUGCUGGCCACAGACUGUGUGUCUGGUCCUCAUGAAAUGUCUUAUCCUGCCCUGUACCUGUGUAUCAGCCUCUCAUGUGCUGGGGGUAACGCAGUGAGUGGGCCCCGAUACUGCUUUUUCCUUCUG
rnacentral:lncRNA from 1 species